GACGAACGCUGGCGGCGUGCCUAAUACAUGCAAGUCGAGCGAAGUUUUUCUGGUGCUUGCACUAGAAAAACUUAGCGGCGAACGGGUGAGUAACACGUAAAGAACCUGCCUCAUAGACGGGGACAACUAUUGGAAACGAUAGCUAAUACCGGAUAACAGCAUAAAUCGCAUGAUAUAUGUUUGAAAGUUGGUUUCGGCUAACACUAUGAGAUGGCUUUGCGGUGCAUUAGCUAGUUGGUGGGGUAAAGGCCUACCAAGGCGACGAUGCAUAGCCGACCUGAGAGGGUGAUCGGCCACACUGGGACUGAGACACGGCCCAGACUCCUACGGGAGGCAGCAGUAGGGAAUCUUCCGCAAUGGGCGAAAGCCUGACGGAGCAACGCCGCGUGAGUGAAGAAGGAUUUCGGUUCGUAAAGCUCUGUUGUUAGGGAAGAAUGAUUGUAUAGUAACUAUAUACAGUAGAGACGGUACCUACC
rnacentral:rRNA from 1 species